GAUGAAGACGUAGCGAAAUGCGAUAAGUAAUGUGAAUUGCAGAAUUCAGUGAAUCAUCGAAUCUUUGAACGCACAUUGCGCCCGCCAGUAUUCUGGCGGGCAUGCCUGUUCGAGCGUCAUUUCAACCCUCAAGCCCCAGCGGCCUGGUGUUGGGGACCGGCGACCUCGCCCGAGCCCGCCCUCCGGGGCGCGUGCCCGGUGCGUCCGCCGCCCCCGAAAUGAAUUGGCGGCCUCGUCGCGGCCUCCUCUGCGUAGUAGCACAACCUCGCAAGCGGGAGCGCGACGCGGCCACUGCCGUAAAACGCCCAACUUUUUUAGAGUUGACCUCGGAUCAGGUAGGAAUACCCGCUGAACUUAAGCAUAUCAAUAAGCGGAGGA
rnacentral:misc_RNA from 1 species